rnacentral:rRNA from 1 species
CGACGCUCUUCCGAUCUGAUGAGGGACACGCGUGUGUGUGGACUUGUGGUGAUCCUAUGCUGCCGAGAAAAGCCUCGACGUGAGGGCAUGACCUGCCCGUACCCUAAACCGACUCAGGUGGUCAGGUAGAGUAUACCGAGGCGUUCGAGUGAAUCGUGGUUAAGGAACUCGGCAAAAUUCCUCCGUAACUUCGGGAUAAGGAGGACCCCGUGACUUGCUCCCACCGUGCGUGGGUGUUGGGUUGUGGGGUCGCAGAGAAUAGGGAGAAGCGACUGUUUAUCAAAAACACAGGUGCGUGCGAAGCCGUAAGGCGAUGUAUACGCACUGACGCCUGCCCGGUGCUGGAAGGUUAAGAGGAACCGUUAACAUUCUUUGUGGGUGUGAAGCGGUGAAUUUAAGCCCCAGUAAACGGCGGUGGUAACUAUAACCAUCCUAAGGUAGCGAAAUUCCUUGUCGGGUAAGUUCCGACCUGCACGAAUGGCGUAACGACUUCCCCGCUGUCUCAACCAUGAGCUCGGCGAAAUUGCAGUACGAGUAAAGAUGCUCGUUUCGCGCAGAAGGACGGAAAGACCCCGGGACCUUUACUAUAGCUUGGUAUUGGUGUUCGCUUGGACUUGUGUAGGAUAGGUGGGAGACUGUGAAGCUGCCGCGCCAGCGGUGGUGGAGUCGUCGUUGAAAUACCAUUCUGGUUUAAGCGGUCACCUUAACCUUGGCCCGUGAUCCGGGUUGGGGACAGUGCCUGGUGGGUAGUUUAACUGGGGCGGUUGCCUCCUAAAAUGUAACGGAGGCGCUCAAAGGUUCCCUCAGCCUGGUUGGUAAUCAGGUGGCGAGUGCAAGUGUACAAGGGAGCUUGACUGUGAGACCGACGGGUCGAGCAGGUGCGAAAGCAGGAACUAGUGAUCCGGCCAUGGCACGUGGGUGCGUGGUCGCUCAACGGAUAAAAGGUACCCCGGGGAUAACAGGCUGAUCUUGCCCAAGAGUCCAUAUCGACGGCAUGGUUUGGCACCUCGAUGUCGGCUCGUCGCAUCCUGGGGCUGGAG